AAUCAACGCUGGCGGCGUGCCUCAGACAUGCAAGUCGAACGAUUAAGACUUCCUUCGGGAAGUGCAUAAAGUGGCGCACGGGUGAGUAACACGUAAGUAAUCUACCCUCGAGUGGGGAAUAACGUUCGGAAACGAACGCUAAUACCGCAUAAUGCAGCGGCAUCGCAAGAUGACAGUUGCAAAAGGAGUAAUUCGCUUGGGGAGGAGCUUGCGGCAGAUUAGCUAGUUGGUAAGGUAACGGCUUACCAAGGCUACGAUCUGUAUCCGGUCUAAGAGGACGGUCGGACACACUGACACUGAAUAACGGGUCAGACUCCUACGGGAGGCAGCAGUCGGGAAUUUUGGGCAAUGGGCGAAAGCCUGACCCAGCAACGCCGCGUGAAGGAUGAAGUAUUUCGGUAUGUAAACUUCGAAAGAAUGGGAAGAAUAAAUGACGGUACCAUUUAUAAGCUCCGGCUAACUACGUGCCAGCAGCCGCGGUAAGAC
rnacentral:rRNA from 1 species